GCCCCGUAGUCUCAGCUACAGGUGGAGGAUUGCUUGAGCACAGAAGUUCUAGGUUGUAGUGUGGUAUGCCAGUGGUGUGUUCACACUAAGUUUGGCAUCAAUAUAGUGACCUCCCAGGAGAAGGGGGCCAUCACACUGCCUAAGGAGUGAACCAGCCCAGGUCAGAUAUGAAGCAGGUCCAAACUCCUGUGCUGAUGGGUAGUGAGCUCUCACCACUUCACUCCAUGGCAACAUAGCAAGAACUUGGCUUUAAAAAAAAAUU
rnacentral:sRNA from 1 species